AGUGGGAAUAACUUCAAUUCCAAGAAAAUGAUGGAGGGGUCCCAAGUCUUUGAUAGGAAACCGAUUUGAUAAGGUGCCAAUAAAGUGAGUGAUGAAAUUGUUGUCGUUAUUAGUGAGAACUAUAUCAUCAACAUAUACCAUGGAAAAGCACAAUAUUUUAUCAUGAUUGUAGAUAAAGAGAGAGACAUCAACUUGUGAUUUGUGAAAACCACAAGUAAGAAGGAUAAAUGUCAACUCUAUGUCCCAUGCCCGUGUUGCUUAUUUCAAGCUGGAAAGAGAUUUUCGUAGUUUGCAGAUAUGAUUAGGAAAUUGAGGAUGAAUGAAACCUGGUGGUUGAUUCAUGAAGACUUCUUCAUGAAGUGUCCCGUGAAGAAAUGCAUUAUUGACAUUAAGUUGGCGUAGGGUCCAGUUGUGGGGAAGAGCUAGAGAUAGGAUGACACGAAUAGUUAUGGGUUUGGGAACGGGGCUGAAAGUGUCAGAAUGAGAUAUCUCAUCCCACUAAUGGAUCGUUGCAACUUAUAGAUAAGGUAAUUUCUUUCAUUCUACCUUCAAGAAUAAAGUGAGUUUUCUACAUGUCAAGUUAAGGAAGCAAUUUAUUACAUGAGGUGUUUCCCAUUGUAAAUCCAUCUUUUCUAGAACAGUUGAGAAAUGUUGAAUAAUUAAGCUCUAAUUAUUCAACUAAAAUUUCAUGGCUGUAAUCUUUAUAUAAAUGAUAGGGCUCUUGAUUUUUGAUAUUUGUAAUAUUUGGGUAACAUGUUUGUUAAAUUAUGUGGAUUGUACUUAAAUCUCUUCUUCAAUAAUUAUUACUACCCAUUUAACAAUUAACACAUUUUAUUUUGUUUUAUUUCUUGACUAAUG